GUUAUCCACCAGGCUCUCGCGCUCUGACCAGGCUCUCGCGCUCUGUCUUCAGGUUGGGUUUGGCUAACGUGAACUACCAACAGGAGUUUAGAGGUCAGGAGGAAAGCAAGAAUCUAUUACUUUCCUGCGACAAAUAGGACAGGUAGAGUUGUCAGCCAGCCAGCGAUCAAUGCAGUGGACAUGAUAUUCAUGACAGCAAGGAGCUGGAACUGGACAUCAAACUGGAGCUGGAACUGGACAUCAGACUGGAACU